ACCCAACUGACGAGUCCCAAAUAAGAUGAAAUGCUCGUCUUGGAU
rnacentral:hammerhead_ribozyme from 1 species